ACGCUGUUGCUGCUGCACUCGUUGCUGCUGCUGUUGCGCCGCCUGCUGCUGCUGUUGCAACUGCAAUUGUUGUUGCUGCUGCUGCUGCUGCUGCUGCUG
rnacentral:sRNA from 1 species